UCCAGGAGGAUAUGAUGUAGGGUCGCCAUAACAAGCCACCAUACAGAAUAUCACACACGGAUACUGUCACUCACACACACCGAGCAAACUGUCAAACCCUGUGGAAGAAAACGUCAAAACAGUUUAGUCUGACAUGGAGGGAUAAA